rnacentral:rRNA from 1 species
GACAGAGGGUGCAAACGUUGUUCGGAAUUACUGGGCGUAAAGCGCGUGUAGGCUGCUUCGCAAGUCGGGUGUGAAAGCCCUGGGCUCAACCUAGGAAGUGCACUCGAAACUGCGAAGCUGGAGUCCGGGAGAGGAGAGUGGAAUUCCUGGUGUAGCGGUGAAAUGCGCAGAUAUCAGGAAGAACACCCGUGGCGAAAGCGGCUCUCUGGAACGGUACUGACGCUGAGACGCGAAAGCGUGGGGAGCGAACAGG